CACACCUAAACGUGAAUCAAAAGAUCAAAUCAACAUUAAAGNCUACUCCUAUGUCUAGCUAUGCUAAAAUUAAAGCAAUUAAAGUUGCCAAGAGUUUGGAAAGAGCACCAUGGACUCUUCCAAUCUACUUGGACUUUAUAAGAGGCCUUUUACAACAAACAAAAAAAACUAAGACUAACAAUGAUACUGACACAAGCCCAUCAAAUACAAAGAAAAAGAAAAAAAAAACAAACAAAACUAUGAUAUUGGUCUACUACGGCCCAACACUGCUACACUGCUGCUAAAGUCCCCUGUUGCUACGGUCCAGUUCAUCUCUCACGAAAUCUUCAAAUGUCCAAAUAUUCCUUGCAGCUCUCGGUCUAAAUAAAAAAUGUCCAAUCCUGCAAACACAAAUAAUCACANAGCUUUUGUCACUUGCACCCCUUUAACCAAAC
rnacentral:lncRNA from 1 species